rnacentral:rRNA from 1 species
GCGUUCUGUAAGCCUGUGAAGGUGGCCUGUGAGGGUUGCUGGAGGUAUCAGAAGUGCGAAUGCUGACAUAAGUAACGAUAAAGCGGGUGAAAAGCCCGCUCGCCGGAAGACCAAGGGUUCCUGUCCAACGUUAAUCGGGGCAGGGUGAGUCGACCCCUAAGGCGAGGCCGAAAGGCGUAGUCGAUGGGAAACAGGUUAAUAUUCCUGUACUUGGUGUUACUGCGAAGGGGGGACGGAGAAGGCUAUGUUGGCCGGGCGACGGUUGUCCCGGUUUAAGCGUGUAGGCUGGUUUUCCAGGCAAAUCCGGAAAACCAAGGCUGAGGCGUGAUGACGAGGCACUACGGUGCUGAA